ACAACGAAAAGCUGAAAUAGUGUUAAAAUUUUCCCUUGCUCCGGCUAAGUUAACAGUGUAUCCAAAUACCCUAUAAAUCUGUUCAACCGAAAGCUCAGUGUCUUGAAGUAAAUCAAACUUACAGUUACAGGUCUCAUAUUUUUCUUCAUUUUUAAUCAAACUUAUUGUCUUCACAAUUUCUUUUAGUCGAAGGGCUUAGUUUGUUUGCUCAGAGUGAUAAGCUUAAGCUUUAACUUUUCAACUGGAACAUUUUAAGUGUUUGUAGAAUUGCCUAAGCGAGAAUAACGAUGGAAUCGUUUGAAUGGAAGGCAAGGGAGGUUGGAAUGCUAAACUGGAACUUCGACACAAGCAACAGAUAUAUUGAAAAGUUGAAAUAACGAUACGAGGAUCUAUGGAGUCUCUUCCCUCGGAUAUCGUACAAUAAAUACUUUCUCGGGUUCCAGCAGAGUCAGUUCUAGAGUGCAAGUUAGUUUGUAAGAAAUGGGUAACUCUCAUCCGCGGAAGUAACUUUGCUAAUAUGCACCUCAGUCACCUGCUUAACCAUCUCCAUGGUGGUAAUGAUGGCAAUGAUAAUCUAGCUGCUAAGGUGGAGUCUUGUCUCUUUUUUGCUUGUCGCCUUGACCAUCCGGACGUCUACAAAACUUUACUUUUUCAUGGAGGACAACUAAGUGAUAGGAUUAGCCCUGAUGAGAAAUACAUUUAUGAUCAAAAUCUGAAAAGGAUCUAUCAUCCUCCCAUGCACAACCAACUUUUAUUUAAUCACUUAGUUGGCUCCUGCAAUGGUUUGGUUUGUGCAUUUCAACUUCACGAUAUUGUCCUAGAUCCCAUCUAUAUUUAUAAUCCCCUUACCAGAGAAUAUGUUUAUCUUCCUAAACUAGUUGCUCCGAAGAAAGAACUUGUUGACCCUGAUCGUAUUGAGGGAGCACAGGUUGGCAUGUAUGAUACUGCAUGUGGAUUUGGAUAAGUUAGGUCAACCAAUGAGUACAAGGUUGUUAGAAUCCAUUACCAAAACUAUUGGGAAGGAAAUGUAGAAGUAUACACACUUGGCAGUGGUUGUGGGUGGAGAGCCAUAGGUAGAGUUCUGCAUCGGCUGUGUACUCUGAGCGGGGGUAGGGGUACCUAUGCUAAUGAUGUUAUCUAUUGGAUUUCACAGAAAAAGUUGUAGCCUUUGACUUGGCUGAUGAGAAGUUUCAAGUGUUAUCUGUCCCUCCUUGUCUGCAAAACCGUCGGAACGGAGAUAGAUGUGGACUUGUAGCACUGGGAAGGCAUUUGUGUCUUUAUGUGGAUAAGUUGCACGUGGAAAUCUGGGCAUUGAUGAGAAGAAGCGACUUGAAGGAGAGAUGGCGUUUGGAGUUUGAUAUAGAUUAUAAAGCCGUAGUAGGUUCCCGUGGGAUGAACUUUCACCCGAUUUUACUUGCAAAGAACGGAGAAAUCAUAUUUUUAUAUGAUGAAUCCGUGCUUGAUAGUUAUGAACCGAAAACAACAUUGUUGAAGAUGAUUUCCAACGAAGCAACAACUGAUUAUUUCGAAGAUGUCGACGCAAUUGCUCAUAUAAAUACCUUCACAUCAUUGGGAGCUAUGGGAGAAACUUCAAAGAGAUACACUGUUCGUAGUCCAUUGGAUGAUGUUAUUGAUGAGUUAGACCGAGUUACUCUUGGUGAGGAAAUUGAUACGACGCGUUACAGACUCAGGUGAUCGACACUAUAAUAAUCCCUCUCAGCUGCUUAUUACUCAGGCGAUCAGCACUAUGAAAUCCCUCUCAGCUUCUUAUUACUCAGGUGUCAACACUAUGAUAAUCUCUCUCAUCUGCCUAAAUUUGUGAUGCAUGGAUAAUUUUGUUUCUUAUGUUUAAUUAAAACUCUGGUUGUGAGUUUUCUCCCUUCACUCUGAUUACAUUACAAGAUUCUGGAUGUUUCUUUGCUCUCUCCUAUCUAAUUGUUGGAAGUAGGUUUAUGGUGUCUUGUUAAUAGGAGGGAAGCAAUAGAUUUGAGGAGGGAAUUGAGUUUUUAGGUGAGGGAUUGACUCUUGAAGUGACAGAUAAAAUGACUAAAACAUUCUUAAAGUAAUGGCCAUGUCAGACAUGAAACAUUAUCUCAUGCUGUAUUUGAUUUUGUUGUCUGAUUGUUAAAACAUUUAUGGAUGUUUCAUGGAUAUGUUUCAUAGUUUGUAUCUAGAAGCUUGCUUAGCUUUCACAUAAAGCAUGUGUAAAACCAAAGAAUGAGAGGGAAACUGCCAUUCAUGGUGUUUGAUCUUAUACUGUGCUUUUUCUGCUUUA